UAUUAUGUGCAAGCCAUGAAUCCAGCCUCCCAGACGUCAUAGUUAAGAGAUUGGCUAAAAAAACGCUACAGUGAUAGUAACAGGAAAGCCUCCACCGAGAAAGCAAAGCUCGCUCGCUCUCUCUUUCCCUUUUUUUCCCUUGCUCCUUCUCCCCCUCCUCCCGCCCUGGCCUCACCCCUCAAUUCCUCUGCAGCUCCGAGCAGGGCAAGGAGAGGGCGCCUGUUUCUCAAAGAUGAGAUGCCAGACUGCCGAGGCCUUGGGAACGUUGGCUAAUCCUUGGCUUUGGAAUCAGUUACAACUCACAAGAUGAGAACAGGACCCAGGCUGCAGGCAGCCCUGUCUUUAACCCUUGAAUUACCUGGAUCUUGAAGUUGGGAUUAAAGCAAGAAUAUGCAGCUGGAACUCUGUGUAUUUGCCUACUUUGGGAUGGAAUCCCUGUAUGACUCUGCGCUAUGGACUGCUCCCAGCCCCGUUCUCACCCCCACCCCCACCCCCCAAGUGGCUGUCCGUUGAAUCCUAUUGACCUCUUCUUAGAAAAAGAUUUUUAAAUGUGUUAAAAUCAACAUAGGAUUACAAAGGAAACCAGUUAUUCUGAAAUAUAAUUAUUAAAAUUAAAAGUAUACACACAACUUCACGGACUUCAGUUUAAGAACCUAUUUUAUAAUGACCAUUUAGAGCAUUCAUCUAAUAUUGAGGUCUUUUCAUUUGUUUCCCUGCCUUGCACACAGUAAGCACUUACUAAAUGCUUGUUGACUCAUAUUACAGAUAUAUUAAUAAUAUAGCAUAAUGUUAUAUUAAAAUAUAAUUGCUCACCAUCAGUCAUUAGUAAUGUAACAUUUCUGUUUAUUUACAAUCAUAACAUACUAAUAAUGUAA